rnacentral:rRNA from 1 species
GACGAGGGAUCCUAGCGUUGCUCGGAAUCAUUGGGCGUAAAGCGGGUGUAGGUAGCUUGGUAAGUCAGAUGUGAAAGCCCAGGGCUUAACCCUGGAAGUGCAUUUGAAACUGCUAAGCUUGAGUGCUAGAGAGGUUAAUAGAAUACCUGGUGUAGUGGUGAAAUACGUAGAUAUCAGGUGGAACACCGGAGGCGAAGGCGGUUAACUGGCUAGACACUGACACUGAGACCCGAAAGUGCGGGGAUCAAACAGG